GGGCGGCCUUGAAGAGGGCCUCGACCUGUUCGGGGUCGGUGACGUCGACCUUCACGAAGAUGCCGCCGGUCUCCUCGGCGGCCGCCUU
rnacentral:tRNA from 1 species